AAGAGAGCUGCUUUUUCAUGAAACGGGGGUAAAGUAGUAAACCUACAGGAACAUAUACCACUACCAACGUUUGGAUAUUUCUCUCUAUUUCGGAGUUUCUCUCGGUUUGUGGGCUCAUCUAAAGCUGAGUAACAGGAAGAGAAGAGUCUGGUAGAGCAACUGAGGAACAAUUUCAGCCAUUUGGACUCAGCUCAGCCACUACAGAGGAAAGAAUGACUUCAACACAAAAGGACCAACAUGGAGCGAGAAGUCAGCGCUCUCAGGAGGCCGACAAACCUCACAGAAGAAAGGGAGAGAAAAUAUACAGCUGUGAUAACUGUGGGAAGGAUUUUAUGCGGGGUGGAGACUUAAAAAGACACCAACUCAUCCACAGUGGAGUUAAACCUUACAGCUGUGAAGAGUGUGGGAAGGAUUUUACCCGGGCUGGAGCCUUAAAAACACACCAACUCAUCCACAGUGGAGUUAAACCUUACAGCUGUGAAGAGUGUGGAAAGUCUUUUACCCGGGAUGGAGGCUUAAAAACACACCAACUCAUCCACAGUGGACUUAAACCUUACAGCUGUGACUUGUGUGGAAAGUCUUUUACCCGGGCUGGAGGCUUAAAAACACACCAACUCAUCCACAGUGGAUUUAAACCUUACAGCUGUGACUUGUGUGGAAAUUCCUUUACCCAGCCUGGAGCCUUAAAAAGACACCAACUCAUCCACAGUGGACUUAAACCAUACAGCUGUGAUGAUUGUGGAAAGUCUUUUACCCAGGCUGGAGACCUAAAAGCACACCAACUCAUCCACAGUGGACUUAGAUCUUACAGCUGUGACUUGUGUGGAAAGUCUUUUACUCGGGCUGGAGGCUUAAAAACACACCAGCUCAUUCACAGUGGAGUUAAACUGUACAGCUGUGACUUGUGUGGAAAGUCUUUUACCCUGGCUGGAGGCUUAAAAACACACCAACUCAUCCACAGUGGAUUUAAACCAUACAGCUGUGACUUGUGUGGAAAGUCUUUUAGGCUGGCUCAAAACUUAAAAACACACCAACUCAUCCACAGUGGAGUUAAACCGUACAGCUGUGAUUUGUGUGGAAAGUCUUUUAGCCACUGUCAAGGCUUAAAAACACACCAUGUCAUGCACAGUGGAGUUAAAGAGUACAGCUGUGAGUUGUGUGGUAAAGCUUUUGCUCUAAAUAGCGACUUACAGAGGCAUCUAGUUACCCACUCUGGAAUUAAGGCGUACAGCUGCGACCUUUGUGGGAAAAGGUUCAGCAACAAACAGUACCGAAAUAUUCACCUGCGGAUUCACACUGGAAAUGAUGUUUACUUCUGUGAUCAGUGUGGGAAACUGUUUACAACAGAAGCACAGUUAAAAAUACACAUGUUUAGCCACACUGAGGAGAGACCUUAUAAAUGUGACCUGUGUGAGAAGACUUUUAAAGCUCCACAUUACCUGAAAAACCACCAACAGAUCCACACCAGCAAGUAACUCUACAAGUGCAGUUACUCUGAGAGAUGGAUCCAGUUCUCAGCCCUGUCGUCACUGUGGUGGUGGGAAAGAGUUUCUUUGUAACCUCUGAGGAAAUACCUCCAAUCAUCAAUGGGACCUAAAGCCACAUCAACGUAGACACACUGCAGACAAAAUGAACUACUGCAAAGAAUGUGGGAGAGGCUUCCACACACCAAGUACAUUAAAAAUACAUGAACUCUUCCACAGUGGAGUCAAAAAGCACAUCUGUGACCAGUGUGGGUCAUCCUUCACCACUGCACGUGAGCUUAAAGAAAAAGCAUAAGCGAAUCCACACAGGAGAGACUCCAUACAAGUUCAGACACUGUGACAAAAGCUUCUCACAAUCAGGUCAUCGUAACAAACAUGAAAGUACACACAUGGAAGUGAACUUCAGCUGUGACCAGUGUGACAAGAGCUUCAGGAAUGCCAGUUCAUACUCUGAACACAAACAAUUCCAUGCUGUAAAUAAACUGUUUCACUGUUACCAAUGUGCAAAAACAUUCACUUCAUUAUCUGCUCUGUGCAAACAUCAGCCUGAUCAUGCAGGACUGAAAUCACUGGAUCACAAUGAAUCUGAAGAGAGAGAAAGAUCCUUUUCUGGUUUCAGGGUCAGACUUAAAAACCUUGAGAUCAGGCUCCACAGAGUUCAGAUGGAAUCUCCUGUAAAGAGUGUCAGCUGAUGCCACACUUGGAUCUGAUGAGGUAGCUCUGAUUUCUGGACCUGCAGUGAAUAAUCCUGAAUGUUACGUUUAGGAAGCUGCAUGUAUAGGAAGGAAUGUAUAGUAGGAAUGUCUUUUCUUUCUCUUUGUUUAACCAAACUGGUAUUCUAUCAAAAAUCACAUAUGGAUAUGUAUAUUAUUUCUUUUAUUUGAACUUUUUUAGCUUUUUCAAAAUUAACUUAUUUUUUAUGUUUUCAUUGCAUGUUUCAACUCAGUUAAAUUUCAAUUCUUUAUUUAUAUUUAAUCUUUUGCUGUGGUAAAAUCUUCUCUUAAAUCAUUUUUCUCCCAAAACUGCAAAUUAUUACAAAGCAGUUACUCUUAAAACUUCCAAAAUGAACUAAAUCUGUCCACCAGUUUUGAAACAACAGCUGCUGUGACUUUGUGUCCAGAAAAAAGAAACUCAAGCUGAACUGGUUUUGGGCUGUACUUCCAUGUAAUUCCAUGUUUUGUUUUUUUUUACCAGAAGAUGGAGCAGUGAGGCUGUGUAACCUUUAUUUAAUUAGGGAAAGACCACAAUAUUCACAGUGGCAGCAAAGAACUGUUAAAAGUUAAAAACAGCAGCACACAUCAGGACCAUUUUAAAGAUCACAUGUGACUAAUUUUAGUUAAUUCAAAUCCUUUUAAACAUCGAUUUUUGGCUCCUCCUUUCACUUUAGUGUAUUUACUGUAUCCUUUGUUUGUCCACGUUGUUUUUUAAUGAAUUCAUUUUGAUCCACAUGUUCUGCAGCUGUUUUCCUGUUGAUCUGAAGUAGGGCUGGGCGAUAUGGCCUAAAAUUCAUAUCGCGAUAUAAUUUGAAGCAUGUGCGAUAACGAUAUAUAUCACGAUAUAUUCUUUUCUUCUGUAUAACGUAUUUUCCACACUAUAAGGCACACUUAAAAUCCUUUAAUUUUCUCAAAAAUCGAGAGUGUGCCUUAUGUAUGAAUUCUGGUUGUGCUUACUGACCUUGAACCGAUUUUGGCGUGUAGAAAUCUGUUAAAAAAUGUUUUAGUACAACUUUGGUAAGCCUGCUGAUGGACUGCUUGAUGGAUUGUCAGAGCAUUACGGCUGCCGUAGUGAGGAGUAAUCUGGGUCCAAAACUCUGUCUACUUCAGGUCCCAAAGUCAAACGAACACUGAGAGUUAAAAACAGUCUAAAUUCUUUCAUCUUUAAUUAAAUCAUCAGCGUUGCUGCUUUAUCGGGUGUAACAAUUAAGUUUAACAUCCAUGCAUCCGUGAAAACAGAAUUUAUUAAAUUUAAAGGAGUUAGAAGUUAACAGGAAGUUAGCUCGCUAGUUUAUACCUAAACAUUUCAUACCAUGUUCUGACUGAGAGAUUUUUGAAACUAAUUAAAACGUACAGCUCUGCUACCACUCCCAACAUAAAUGAAGACAGGAAACUAAACAGCAGUGGCGUUUGCAGGGUUACCGAAGUUAGACUACCUGGUAUAUAAUGUUGUGCUACGCGAUUGCUAGCGACACAGCUAUGUUAGCAUAACAUUAGCACAGUGAAGCUGGAGGAUGAACGGCAACUUUUUUUCCACUCAAUAAAAGUUAACAUGAGGGAUUCUGGUGGUUAGGGACACAUGCAAUCGCAUAGCAGGAUGCUAUACACGGGCCAAACUUCAGUCAGGAGAACAUAAUUUACUGAUGAUAGUGGUUGUAGCCGCUGUGAUACUUUCUACCAAAACAGGCGCAGCUUGAUGACAUCAACAUGCGCUAUCGCGAUAGAGCGAUAUAGUCAAAAUCUCUAUCGUUGGCCAAAUCUAUAUCGUUUCUAUCGUAUAUCGUUUAUAUCGCCCACCCCUAAUCUGAAGUUUGUAUUAUGAAAUCCUGAUAAUGUUAAAGCGUUAGUUAUAUUUGAUGAACUCUGUGUAAAGUUUAUCUUAUUAAACGGUUUGGUG